CCUACGGGUGGCAGCAGUGGGGAAUAUUGGACAAUGGGCGAAAGCCUGAUCCAGCCAUGCCGCGUGUGCGAAGAAGGCCUUCGGGUUGUAAAGCACUUUCAGUGGGGAAGAAAGCCUUGGGGCUAAUACCCUCGAGGAAGGACAUCACCCACAGAAGAAGCACCGGCUAACUCCGUGCCAGCAGCCGCGGUAAUACGGAGGGUGCGAGCGUUAAUCGGAAUUACUGGGCGUAAAGCGCGCGUAGGCGGUCUGAUAAGCCGGUUGUGAAAGCCCCGGGCUCAACCUGGGAACGGCAUCCGGAACUGUCAGGCUAGAGUGCAGGAGAGGAAGGUAGAAUUCCCGGUGUAGCGGUGAAAUGCGUAGAGAUCGGGAGGAAUACCAGUGGCGAAGGCGGCCUUCUGGACUGACACUGACGCUGAGGUGCGAAAGCGUGGGUAGCAAACAGGAUUAGAUACCCGUGUAGUC
rnacentral:rRNA from 1 species